GGUGGCUCAGCAGUAGAGUGCUUGCCUAGCAUGCAAGAGGCCUGAGUUUGAUUUUUCAGCACCA
rnacentral:tRNA from 1 species